rnacentral:rRNA from 1 species
UACGGGGGGGCAAGCGUUGUUCGGAAUUACUGGGCGUAAAGGGCUCGUAGGCGGCCAACUAAGUCAGACGUGAAAUCCCUAGGCUCAACCUAGGAACUGCGUCUGAUACUGGAUGGCUUGAAUCCGGGAGAGGGAUGCAGAAUUCCAGGUGUAGCGGUGAAAUGCGUAGAUAUCUGGAGGAAUACCGGUGGCGAAGGCGGCAUCCUGGACCGGCAUUGACGCUGAGGAGCGAAAAGCCAGGGGAGCAAACGGG